AACGAACGCUGGCGGCAUGCCUAACACAUGCCAGUCGAACGAGACCUUCGGGUCUAGUGGCGCACGGGUGCGUAACGCGUGGGAACCUGCCCUUAGGUUCGGAAUAACUCCCCGAAAGGGGUGCUAAUACCGGAUAAUGUCUUCGGACCAAAGAUUUAUCGCCUUUGGAUGGGCCCGCGUUGGAUUAGCUAGUAGGUAGGGUAAAAGCCUACCAAGGCGACGAUCCAUAGCUGGUCUGAGAGGAUGAUCAGCCACACUGGGACUGAGACACGGCCCAGACUCCUACGGGAGGCAGCAGUGGGGAAUAUUGGACAAUGGGCGAAAGCCUGAUCCAGCAAUGCCGCGUGAGUGAUGAAGGCCUUAGGGUUGUAAAGCUCUUUUACCCGGGAUGAUAAUGACAGUACCGGGAGAAUAAGCUCCGGCUAACUCCGUG
rnacentral:rRNA from 1 species